rnacentral:lncRNA from 1 species
AAAAGGAGGAGUGAGAGCGGCUUGAAACGCAGCAGUUGCAAUAAGCACAACUACUACGAGGAUAGCGUUUCGCAUAUCCCCUGACAAACCGAGAUCCAGGUAAGCACCAUAUUGGAGUAAAUAAUCUAUCAACCUCAUCUUUGGUUUCAAGUACGUUUCAAAAACGGUGGCUUCAUCUUGAAUAUGUAAAUAUUUGGCAAUGGCACGAUUGACAAGUGAUGAACCUUCUUUAUUUCCUGCGCUUAUUAAAAUUUUCCUUGCUUCUUCAUUUUCAGGUUUGAGGAUUUCCAAUGCCGUCUUACCUUCUAAGUUUUUCUUAUUCACAUGCACAAGCCCGAUUAAUGACUUCAUAACCUGAAACCAUAAACAAGCAGUCAUAUAAAAUUAUAAUUGAACAGAUAAAGUGUUUACUAAACAAUAAUUGGUUUAAAGAAAAAUGAGAACCAUUUUAUUUUAUUGAUUUUUAUUAAUUUCUGGUAUUUUUAAUUAAGCGAAUUUAUGUAUAAUGAUGUAUCGAUUUGAAAGAGUAUCAACUAUUGAGUGAAUGGAGUUUCGAUCAUGAUCACAAUCCCUUUCAAGUCAAUCCCUUUCAAGUUUUAGUUUGAUCUCGAGACAAGUUUGAUGUUUCCAGUCAAAUUUGUGGGUGUGAAAGGUGGAUUAGGACUUUGAUCCUUAAUGUUAUUUUUACAAAUUAUAGAAAGUUAGAAAAAGUCAAGUAAAAAAUUAUAGAUUUUGGAAAAAUGGAGUUUUUAGGCUCGGUUGCCCAUUAAUCAGCCAAAAUUUCAAUGAAUCGGUUAUACAAACUCGAUCUCCUGUUCUGCUUCAUUCAUUCUGCUUUUUCAUAAUCAUUUAAUUAUAGUUUAUUAUGUUUUACUUUAUUUAGUUGGCUACAGUUUCAAGCUAUCUUUUGAUUGUUAUUCUUCUAUUCCCU